ensembl:misc_RNA Y_RNA Y RNA
GACUGGUCCGAGUGGUGUUUAUAACUAAUUGAUCACAACCAGUUACAGAUUUCUUUGUUCCUUCUCCAUUCUCACUGCUUCACUUGACUAGUCUUGA